ACACCCAACUCUGCUGAUAUACACUUGAACAUGAGCAUAGUGUGUCCUCUUUAAUAAUUAAUAACGUACAAGGCCAGCACUGCGAGACUCUUAGAAAGGAAAUCACUCAAACAACAGCCUAUGUCCUUCCUUGAAUAUGUUUUUGUAACAACCAAAAUUAAUAAGAUGAAUGAUCAAAGCAUGAAUAAAAAAGAUAAGAAACCAUAAGCUAGUCUCCAGUGGAAAACACAAAUCCACGAUAAGCUAGAAUAACUUGUAUUCGGGGAAACAUGAUCCAAACAGAGCUUUUAGUCAAACUAUUCAGACUGAUAAAACCCCAUAAAGAUUAUGAGAGAGAAAAACUCUGGGAAACUUGAUGACUGAUGCAUAAAAACACAGAAGUCUCUUUCUGUUCGUCUCCGCUUGUUUCUCCCCCUACUUCUUUCUCAAGUCUGAUUGUCCUUCUGUCUUUUUCUCUUCAGGUUUACAUCUUAACUCGUGUUUUUCUUUAUUUGAAUCCCCAGGAAAGACCUUUGAGGCCAAGAAACCGGCAGAAAUCCCAGAGAACGAGCAGGUGAAGCUGGAGCCGGAGCUGGAGGAGGCUCUGAAGAACGCCACGGACGCUGAGAUGUGCGACAUCGCAGCUAUCCUGGGGAUGUACACGCUGAUGAGCAA